rnacentral:tRNA from 1 species
UUCUUUAUAGCAUAAAGGUUAGUGUUUCAAGCUCAUAACUUGAAGGUAUCGGUUCAAUUCCGAUUAAGGAAA